rnacentral:misc_RNA from 1 species
CCAAUAGCGUAUAUUAAAGUUGUUGCAGUUAAAAAGCUCGUAGUUGAAUUUCGGGGUUAGCAGGUCGGUCGUGCCAUUGGUAUGAACUGGUCUCGCUGAUCCCUCCCUCUUGACGAACUGUGAUGCCAUUAAUUUGGUGUCGCAGGGAAUCAGGACUGUUACUUUGAAAAAAUUAGAGUGUUUAAAGCAGGCUUUAGCUUGAAUACAUUAGCAUGGAUUAAUGAAAUAGGACGUUUGAUCCUAUUUUGUUGGUUUCUAGGAUUGACGUAAUGAUUAAUAGGGAUAGUUGGGGGCAUUAGUAUUCAAUUGGCAGAGGUGAAAUUCUUGGAUUUAUUGAAAACUAACUACUGCGAAAGCAUUUGCCAAGGAUGUUUUCAUUAAUCAAGAACGAAAGUUAGGGGAUCGAAGACGAUCAGAUACCGUCGUAGUCUUAACCAUAAACUAUGCCGACUAGGGAUCGGAUGAUGUUAAUUUUUUAAUGACUCAUUCGGCGCCUUACG